rnacentral:rRNA from 1 species
CUACCUCGGGAGGCAGCAGUGGGGAAUAUUGCACAAUGGGGGAAACCCUGAUGCAGCGACGCCGCGUGAGUGAUGAAGUAUUUCGGUAUGUAAAGCUCUAUCAGCAGGGAAGAUAAUGACGGUACCUGACUAAGAAGCUCCGGCUAAAUACGUGCCAGCAGCCGCGGUAAUACGUAUGGAGCAAGCGUUAUCCGGAUUUACUGGGUGUAAAGGGAGCGCAGACGGCAGGGCAAGUCUGAUGUGAAAGUCCGGGGCUCAACCCCGGGACUGCAUUGGAAACUACCGAACUAGAGUGUCGGAGAGGG